rnacentral:rRNA from 1 species
UACGUAGGCAGCAAGCGUUGUUCGGAUUUACUGGGCGUAAAGAGUGCGUAGGCGGUGCUCCAAGUUUGGCGUGAAAUCUCCCGGCUUAACCGGGAGGGUGCGUCGAAUACUGGAAUGCUUGAGGGUGGGAGAGGUAAGCGGAAUUCCUGGUGUAGCGGUGAAAUGCGUAGAUAUCAGGAGGAACACCUGUGGUGUAGACAGCUUACUGGACCACUUCUGACGCUGAGGCACGAAAGCGUGGGUAGCAAACAGG